rnacentral:rRNA from 1 species
UACGUAGGCAGCGAGCGUUGUUCGGAGUUACUGGGCGUAAAGCGUGCGUAGGCGGUGGUCCAAGUCUGGUGUGAAAUCUCCCGGCUUAACUGGGAGGGUGCGCCGGAAACUGGGCCGCUGGAGUACGGGAGAGGCAAGCGGAACUCCAGGUGUAGCGGUGAAAUGCGUAGAUAUCUGGAGGAACACCCGUGGUGCAGACGGCUUGCUGGACCGUGACUGACGCUGAGGCACGAAAGCGUGGGUAGCAAACAGG